GGUUAAAACACCAGUUCCCGUACGAUCACCGAAGUUAAGCAACGUCAGUACCUAGAUGGGUGACCGCUUUCGAAUAACAGGUGCUGUAAG